rnacentral:rRNA from 1 species
GGGCUUCGAUUGAGGCGGGCUGGACCUCUCGGGGUUACAGCCUUGCUGAAUUAUUCACCCUUGUCUUUUGCGUACUUCUUGUUUCCUUGGUGGGUUCGCCCACCACUAGGACAAACAUAAACCUUUUGUAAUUGCAAUCAGCGUCAGUAACAAAUUAAUAAUUACAACUUUCAACAACGGAUCUCUUGGUUCUGGCAUCGAUGAAGAACGCAGCGAAAUGCGAUAAGUAGUGUGAAUUGCAGAAUUCAGUGAAUCAUCGAAUCUUUGAACGCACAUUGCGCCCUUUGGUAUUCCAAAGGGCAUGCCUGUUCGAGCGUCAUUUGUACCCUCAAGCUUUGCUUGGUGUUGGGCGUCUUGUCUCUAGCUUUGCUGGAGACUCGCCUUAAAGUAAUUGGCAGCCGGCCUACUGGUUUCGGAGCGCAGCACAAGUCGCACUCUCUAUCAGCAAAGGUCUAGCAUCCAUUAAGCCUUUUUUUCAACUUUUGACCUCGGAUCAGGUAGGGAUACCCGCUGAACUUAAGCAUAUCAAUAAGCGGAGGAAAA